CUGAAAAUAGCAUAAAAAGUGUUAUUUGCUUACAACAAAUAGGUGGUAGUUUACCUUUUCAAU
rnacentral:tRNA from 1 species